CGCCAUCCUGAUGUUCUUCAAUUUCUAGUU
rnacentral:piRNA from 1 species